GCCCCUCAUUCUCUCUCCUCGUUAUCUUUGAACAUCGCCAUCUCUCUCUCUCUCUCUCUCUCAUUCUCUCUCUCUCUCUCUCUUGCGCGCACACUCUCAGACCUACGAUUUGAUACUCUUCAUCGAUUCGCCCCAAACCCUAAUCCCUUUCUCCAUUCCUCAGCCUUCCGCCUCACUGCUGCAAACCUCAGCCUCGUCCUUGUCAGCCGCAACUCCGUCAAACUCCGCAACGUCGCCGCUGCCGUUCGCUCCCGCAGCCCGAAAAGGAAGAGAAAGAGGAAGACGACAAAAAUGUCAUUUUACAUACCUACUGUUAAAAAAUAAACAGUUUUCUAACGGAUCCUAACUAGACGAACAUAUCUGAAUAUAUUAGGACUUUUGCAGGAAUAACUUAUGAAAGUUGAACUUUGUAGAGAUAUAUCUGCAAUUCACCAUAUUUGCGGGGACCUGCAUGCAAUUAACCCAAAAAAAAUGAUGUGUCGGAUGUAACGAGAACGUCCAAACCCUACGACAUGACACGCGUAUCAAGACCAUCAACCGAUCAAGGCCUACACGCUAAUAGUAAUAAUAAUAGUCAGGAUCGAAAGCUAAUUUUUGAUACCAAUUAAAACAAUCGACCCGCUAGCAAUAAUAACUCGUUGGGUUCAAACUAUCGGUCCAAAAUGCUUGAACCCAGUUAUUAUUAGUAGCGUGUAGGCUUCGUAUAUUCUAAUCAGAAUUAUUUUUCCAUCCAAUGUGGGAUUGUUGGGGUAUUAUAAACUACUUUAUAUAGUGCUGGUAUUAAAAAAAUUUCCCACAACCCCUCAAAGGAUUGUUAGGGUAUUAUAUUUGACCCAACGAAUUAUUAUUGUUACCCGGUCGGAUCAUUACAUAUUUUUACAUAAAACUAAAAUUUAGUA
rnacentral:lncRNA from 1 species